rnacentral:rRNA from 1 species
AUUGAACGCUGGCGGCAUGCCUUACACAUGCAAGUCGAACGGCAGCGCGGGGCAACCUGGCGGCGAGUGGCGAACGGGUGAGUAACAUAUCGGAACAUACCCUAGAGUGGGGGAUAACGUAGCGAAAGUUACGCUAAUACCGCAUACGCACUAAGGUGGAAAGUGGGGGAUUCGCAAGAACCUCAUGCUCAUGGAGUGGCCGAUAUCUGAUUAGCUAGUUGGUGAGGUAAAGGCUCACCAAGGCGACGAUCAGUAGCUGGUUUGAGAGAACGACCAGCCACACUGGAACUGAGACACGGUCCAGACUCCUACGGGAGGCAGCAGUGGGGAAUUUUGGGACAAUGGGGGCAACCCUGAUCCAGCAAUGCCGCGUGAGUGAAGAAGGCCU